GCUUGCUCCCAAAGGUUAGCGGCGGACGGGUGAGUAACACGUGGGCAACCUGCCUGUAAGACUGGGAUAACUUCGGGAAACCGGAGCUAAUACCGGAUAAUUCUUUUCUACUCAUGUAGGAAAGCUGAAAGAUGGUUUCGGCUAUCACUUACAGAUGGGCCCGCGGCGCAUUAGCUAGUUGGUGAGGUAACGGCUCACCAAGGCAACGAUGCGUAGCCGACCUGAGAGGGUGAUCGGCCACACUGGGACUGAGACACUACCCAGACUCCUACGGGAGGCAGCAGUAGGGAAUCUUCCGCAAUGGACGAAAGUCUGACGGAGCAACGCCGCGUGAGUGAUGAAGGUUUUCGGAUCGUAAAACUCUGUUGUUAGGGAAGAACAAGUACCGGAGUAACUGCCGGUACCUUGACGGUACCUAACCAGAAAGCCACGGCUAACUACGUGCCAGCAGCCGCGGUAAUACGUAGGUGGCAAGCGUUGUCCGGAAUUAUUGGGCGUAAAGCGCGCGCAGGCGGUUCCUUAAGUCUGAUGUGAAAGCCCCCGGCUCAACCGGGGAGGGUCAUUGGAAACUGGGGAACUUGAGUGCAGAAGAGGAGAGUGGAAUUCCACGUGUAGCGGUGAAAUGCGUAGAGAUGUGGAGGAACACCAGUGGCGAAGGCGACUCUCUGGUCUGUAACUGACGCUGAGGCGCGAAAGCGUGGGGAGCGAACAGGAUUAGAUACCCUGGUAGUCCACGCCGUAAACGAUGAGUGCUAAGUGUUAGAGGGUUUCCGCCCUUUAGUGCUGCAGC
rnacentral:rRNA from 1 species